AACUGACCUGCCCUCAUGGCGAGCACCCGGAUCCAGCUGUUUGAUGUUAAUCAGCAGAUCCUGUCGAUGUGAAAAUUUCAGGUGAUCAGGUGGUGCCCUCUGGCUCCCAGUCUAUGGAAGAGCUGGGCAACACGGUGGUGGGGUUUGGUGCAUAUUCACACCACACCUUUAGGUCCCUGUACAAUGUGCAGGACGAAGAGAGUCGAAUCUGUCUGGAUUGGGUACGACAGCUGACGGUGAUGGCUGAGUCCAGGAUAGGCCGUCUGAGGAGCUAGGUGCCUCCUCCUCGGAUCCACCACCUGACGCUGUAGUGCCUGAGCGCUGAGGUCAACUCUCCCCGCACAUACAGGGGCACCCCACCAGCCGUGGCCUUCGUCUACUAAAUUCUGCUCCGACUGAAUUUCGUUCACGGACGCACUCCCUAAGGCAGAGACAAUGUCUUUCCACCCCGUGUUUCGCUUUGAGCCCUCGUCCUCUGAGCUCACCCUUCGGCCCUCUGCAGCCGCUGAAAUAUUUCUCAAGCAGGGCUCUGUCAGUGGCGGGCAGGUGAAGAGGGCCGAUGUGGUUCGAGCCGAGGCGAGGGCAAGAGCAUGGAGCAAGUAUGCGGACAACAGCGAGCAAGCAGUGCUGGCCGAAAGUGAGCUCCAGAUCGGCCAGUACGGCGGCCAAACCUUCCAGUGGCUGCUGAGUAACAAUGUGGGGUUCGCUGGUCCCACCAGAAGGAGAGAGAGGGAGGGGACACCACAACUACGCCCCAGAUGCUGAACAAGGACGCCCUUGCCUCCUACGCCCGGCUGUAUGACGCGCGGGACCAAGAGAGUCGAACCUACGUGAUACGAGUUCAGGCCGGCGACAGACGAGAGCGCCGACGAACUCGGCAGCAGCGAGGACUGCAGCAGUGUGGGAGCCGCGCGGGCAGCAGUGCAAGUUGGGGAGGGCCCGGAGCGGCUGCCCA